rnacentral:rRNA from 1 species
GACGAACGCUGGCGGCGUGCUUAACACAUGCAAGUCGAGCGGUGCUGCGAACGGGUGUGUAACGCGUGAGUAACUGCCCCCCUCUCUGGGAUCACAGUUGGAAACGGCUGCUAAUACCGGAAAGUUGGGGAUGAAUCGCGGCCGAUCAGCUUGUUGGUGGGGGAGUGGCGUCCCAAGGCGACGACGGGUAGCCGGCCUGAGAGGGCGACAGGCCAAAUUAGGAUGAGCUACGGCCCAACCUCCUACGGGAGGGAGCAGUGGGGAACAUUGCGCAAUGGGGGAAACCAUGAUGCAGCGGCGCCGCGUGGGGGAUGUAGGGUUUCGGGUUGUAAACCUCUUUCGCUAUCGAAAGGGUAGGUGGAGAAGAAGCGCCGGCUAACUACGUGCCAGCAGCCGCGGUAAUUC